rnacentral:misc_RNA from 1 species
GUGAAUCAUCGAAUUUUUGAACACAAAUUGCACUCCCUUCUGAGAGUCUGCCUGUUUGAGGGUCAGCCUAAAAAAAAUCCACAUACUUGCUGUUACCCCUUCACAUUCGUCGGACAUUGAGUCAUCUUAAACCUUUUGUUUUAAGCGGCUUAACAUUUUCUUUACGACUCCAACAACGGUUCUAAGAUUUUAUUUUCUUAUACGUUUAAGAUAUCGAUCUUUAUUAGACGUUGCCGUUGCAUCGGCUCUCGUCUAUAAAUAUUUCCUUAA